rnacentral:rRNA from 1 species
UACGGAGGGUGCGAGCGUUGUUCGGAAUCACUGGGCGUAAAGGGCGUGUAGGCGGUCCGCUAAGUCUGAUGUGAAAGCCCGGGGCUCACCCCCGGAAGUGCAUUGGAAACUGGCGAACUCGAGUCCCGGAGAGGAGAGUGGAAUUCCUGGUGUAGCGGUGAAAUGCGCAGAUAUCAGGAGGAACACCGGUGGCGAAGGCGGGUCUCUGGGCCGUAACUGACGCUGAGGAGCGAAAGCGUGGGGAGCGAACAGG